AAGUCGUAACAAGGUUUCCGUAGGUGAACCUGCGGAAGGAUCAUUAUUGAAGUUGUGAAUGGGGGCCUUGAUGCUGGCUUGUCCAUUCCUUUGGCUGCAUUGUGCUCGCCCCAGCAUCCUUUCCAACACCGUGUGACACCUUCCUUGUGGGAAUGGGAGAGAAAGGGCUUGCCUCAUUUUAUCUCAGUCUCAUGAUUCAUAAACGCUGUUUGUAAUGUUGAAUGCAUUUAUGCCGUCAAGGCUUUAACCUAAUACAA
rnacentral:misc_RNA from 1 species